ACGCUGGCCUUGGCAGCACAUAUGGUAAAACUGGGCAAUACAGAGAAGAUUAGCACAGCCCCUGCACAAGGGUGACACCAAAAUUUGUGAAGUGUUCAUACUUUUA
rnacentral:snRNA from 1 species